rnacentral:tRNA from 1 species
GGAGAGAUGGCCGAGUGGUCGAAGGCGCUGCCCUGCUAAGGCAGUAUGGGAGUAAUCCCAUCGAGGGUUCGAAUCCCUCUCUCUCCGCCA